AGAGUUUGAUCCUGGCUCAGAACGAACGCUGGCGGCGUGCCUAAUACAUGCAAGACGUGCGGGAAAGCGUCCUUCGGGAUGCAAGUAGAGCGGCGAACGGGUGAGUAACACGUAAGUAACCUACCUCUAAAUUUGGAAUAACCCCGAGAAAUCGAGGCUAAUACCGGAUGUGGUUAAAUUGUCACAUGGCGAAUUAAUUAAAGGUGACCUCUACAUGUAAGUUACCGUUUAGAGAUGGACUUGCGCACCAUUAGCUUGUUGGCGGGGUAACGGCCCACCAAGGCUGUUAUGGUUAGCCGGCCUGAGAGGGUGUACGGCCACAUUGGGACUGAGAUACGGCCCAGACUCCUACGGGAGGCAGCAGUAGGGAAUUUUGCGCAAUGGACGAAAGUCUGACGCAGCAACGCCGCGUGAGUGAUGAAGGUCUUCGGGUUGUAAAGCUCUGUUGAGUGGGACGAAACUUUUGGUGGAUAAUACCCGCCAGAACUGACGGUACCAUUCGAGGAAGCACCGGCUAACUACGUGCCAGCAGCCGCGGAAAUACGUAGGGUGCAAGCGUUGUUCGGAAUUACUGGGCGUAAAGGGAGUGUAGGUGGAAAGGUAAGUUAAAAGUUUAAUUUACGGGCUUAACCCGUAAUCUGCUUCUAAUACUGCUUUUCUUGAGUAUGGGAGAGGGCGAUGGAAUUCCAGGUGUAGCGGUGGAAUGCGUAGAUAUCUGGAAGAACACCAGUUGCGAAGGCGGUCGCCUGGCCCAAUACUGACACUGAGGCUCGAAAGCUAGGGGAGCAAACAGGAUUAGAUACCCUGGUAGUCCUAGCCUUAAACGAUGGAUACUAGAUGCUGGAAGGGUUAUUCUUUUCAGUGUCGGAGCUAACGUAUUAAGUAUCCCGCCUGGGAAGUACGCUCGCAAGGGUGAAACUCAAAGGAAUUGACGGGGGCCCGCACAAGCGGUGGAGCAUGUGCUUUAAUUCGAUGCAACGCGAAGAACCUUACCUGGGUUUGACAUGGGAAUGAAAGCCUUUAGAGAUAGAGGACCUUCCUUCGGGAACAUUCCACACAGGUGCUGCAUGGUUGUCGUCAGCUCGUGUCGUGAGAUGUUGGGUUAAGUCCCGCAACGAGCGCAACCCUUGCCCUUAGUUGCCAUCAGGUCAAGCUGGGAACUCUAAGGGGACCGCCUAGUUUAACUAGGAGGAAGGUGGGGAUGACGUCAAAUCAUCAUGGCCCUUACGUCCAGGGCUAGACACGUGCUACAAUGGUCGGCACAAAGGGUCGCGACGCUGCAAAGUGAAGCUAAUCCCAAAAAAACCGGCCUCAGUUCGGAUUGGAGUCUGCAAUUCGACUUCAUGAAGCUGGAAUCGCUAGUAAUCGUGGAUCAGCAUGCCACGGUGAAUACGUUCCCGGGCCUUGUACACACCGCCCGUCAAGCCACGAAAGAUGGGAGUACCCAACGUCGUUUACCCAACCGUAAGGAGGGAGACGCCUAAGGUAAGACCAUUGAUUGGGGC
rnacentral:rRNA from 1 species